GCUCCAACGAGCAGAUCCCAACUUGGGUCUUUUCCCUCUUCAGGGCGCCCACUCUCAACCCAUGGCCGCGGCUUACAUUAUCUUCCCAUGUGGCAUGCGCAAAUUGGAUCUCUGCCAAAAGGAAACCUUUCUGACUGAUCUCUUGACUCUGAGACCCAUUCGGAUUUUCUGGGUCCUCUCUAGUCCAGGCAGGCCAGGGGGUGACUUUAUUCCAACCCUGGAUCUGUUGGGUCCAGCUCCUCUGUAGGCCGCACCCCCUCAGCUUCCGCCCCCACACCAGCUCCAGAGUGCAGGGCCACGGUGUGGUGCCUGAGGGUCCGGGAGCCUGUCUGACCGUGUUGGCAGACCCCCCGCUGCUCCUGCUUCUCCGUGGCUGACGUCCAGGUGCUCUUUUCUCUGUACCCCAGAGCCCUGAAACCGCCUCUCUCGGAUGAGAGGUCUGAAGACUCUGCGUCCUUGAGUGGGAGGCUUCCCCCAGAAUGGAAGCCGUGUCACACAUCCCCACCCCCUUCCACUCUAGGUGACCUGGGACAUGAGUUCCUGAAACGGUCUCCUGAGGUGGCCACGCUCACCUUGCCAUCCCAGGUGGCGUCCAUGGUUCCCAGACACCGUGAAAGUAACCUGUCCCUCCUGCCAACACCUGUAGACGUAUUGCGGGGAGGAAGGCGGCCUUUCUGGGCACCCCAUGUGAGGGACAGAACGAUGGCCUUCCCUGCCAUGGGAGAGGCUGUCAGUGUCCACCCGCGUUCUCUAGGCACAGACACUCACUCGACCAAUGCCGCUGUCAAUGGGAAGCUUUCAAGCAAACAGGAAGUGCCCGGGGACAACACCCACAGGAGAAGCUCUCAGCCAAUGGCUGAAGAGUAUCAGUGACCAGCUGCCUCAUCCACUGGGUGGAUGGCUGAGGUAUGCUCUACACUCUCUCCCAGAAUCCCCAGCAAGACUGAGCCCCAGUUGCCCACAGUGGUACUGGGCUCCACAGGCCCCGGGUUGGUGUCCUUUACUCCCCCACUCCCCACCUCCCACCCAGGCAACCUGCACUGGCAUCUGUGUCUUGGGACCUACAUUGGAGGGGACCCAAAUUCUGACACCCACCCGCGGUUAUCACUGAACUUCACAGGUGCCUCAUGCUGGAAGUGGGGAAAGGAAGAGGUAUAGUGCUCUGAAGCUUCUACAAAUAACUUUCUCAAAAACCAAACUAGAACAAAACUCCUCUGUCCAGCCCCAUGCAGAAUUUCUCUUCUUUCAGCUUCUCUGAACCUGACAGAGAAUUGUCCUCUCAUGUGGCAGCUUGGUGUCCCUUCCACUUAGUCACCUGGGGUCUCAUGUCUUCAGGGGUCUGUGUCAGGGUGUGGGAUUGGGGAGAGGAGAACAGAUCUCCCAUGGCAUCACAGAUUAUGGCCACAAGCAAAAACCCUCUGGUAGACUUUGGUAAGCCGAUGACUGGCCAUUCUAAACCUUCACCCAGACCUCGUCUCCAAGUUCCUGACCCUAGAGCCAACUGCUUACUUGACAUAGCCACAGGAUGUGCCUCAAACCAGAGACAUCCCCGUCCCUCUCCACCAAAGACACUUCUCUUCCAGCUUGUGAUUACUCUCUGGUCUCCUGGACCCAGGCUGUCACCUGUGAGUCCUGCCCCGCCACCACCUCCUGAAUCGAUCGUCUCCUCUGCACCCCCGCUGUUACCCCAUCACACGAUUAGGGCUAUGUGGUGUUACCACUGUAACCCUGCAACGUGGUUGCAUCUGAGUCUGCCCAGAAUCCACAACUUUUGACACAUGACUGUGGUUUUUCUCACUAGCGGUGCAGUGUUCUUCCCAUGCUUUGGCUUUGGCCUUGGCCAUGUGACCCACUUUGGCCAACGAGAUGUUUUAAAGUCUUGAAAUGUGCUGGUGGGGCAAGAUGAGUUCUCUUGUGCCUCGACCAUCACGAUGAGGAGAACAUACCGUGGCGAGCACACUGGUCUCUGGAAGGGGAGAGAACGCCAAGCAGAGCUUGAGGUCUGCAGCAUGAAGCAGAGCUGUCCCAACGGCCCCCCCACAAAGGAUGUUUCCUUGAAACAUAACCAGAAGUAAGAAGAAGUAAACUUUCCUGGGAGACAUCCUCAACUGGUGGGAGAUGAGAUAAAUGCCCCAGCCCCCUGAACUUCAGAGAGGACCAUUUUGAGGCACAUUUUAUACAGUUCAUCAGAGGGGCCCCAGAAGAAUGGAGACCCAGUUGUACACCCUUUAUUAGCGUCUCCUCCUGCCCUGUCUUACGUCCCUGCUUUCUGGAUCAACUCCAGCUCUCCCCGCCGUUCUGACCUCGAGGUCAUAGAGAAAACACCCUGUCCUCCAAAUACAUUCCCCGGAUGGUGUUCAUGUUACCUACAAAGGAAAGCAGCCUACCAAUACAGAAAAAUGCUGAUCAGUGGCCUCCUUGUUCCAGGGUAGCUGACACAGUCUUGGGCACCACCCUACAGCUGCGUUUUGGGUUCAAAGGCUUUUGUGGCUGGGCUGGGAAGCACAUCACCAUUUAUAACAUUGUUUCUAAGGGAGACACAUUCCAAGAUCCAAACAAUGAAUUCAGUAAAGAAUGUUUGGCUUUUAGGAGGGAUGAGCAGAGCCCGCUGUAUCCUGGGGGCUGGCUAUGCAUUAACCAUUAGCUUCCCUUCCCUUUAGACAAGGAGACUCACCCUGCAGGGCUGGGGCAUGUAUGGGAGGAGGGGUUUAUGAUAAGAGGAAGGAAAUAGAUAAGGGGCCCCGCAGUUGGGGUUCUCCAAGCCUUCCUCCGCACUGAGCGUCCCCAUAGUCCAGGGAUGGAUGAGUGAGGGAGGUGAGAGGUGGACAAAGAAACUUGUCUUCCUUCACUCACGGUCACGUCUGCCCGCCCGCCUGUCGAAGGGGGCUUGCUUAGCCCCUGCUCAGCUCAAACCCUUUUUGGAAUAAGGCGGGGUGUUAGAAAAUGAAUCGGACAUCCUCUGCCUGGGGAAUCCGGGGCGCUCGAGGUGGGCUCUGCCGGGCGGCGUGACCAUUCCCUGGGAGUGGCUGUCACAGCUUGGGGCGAGCCAAGGGGCUUGGGCCAAGACUCCAUCCGGCUUAAGAGGGCAGUGGCGAAUGGGGUGAGGGGAGCGAGUCCAUC